rnacentral:rRNA from 1 species
GUGGGGAAUAUUCCGCAAUGGACGAAAGUCUGACGGAGCAACGCCGCGUGAGUGAUGAAGGUUUUCGGACUGUAAAGCUCUGUUGUUUGGGACGAAAGUGCCUGUUGCGAACAGUUACGGGUAUUGACGGUACUAAACGAGGAAGCCACGGCUAACUACGUGCCAGCAGCCGCGGUAAUACGUAGGUGGCAAGCGUUGUCCGGAAUUAUUGGGCGUAAAGAGCAUGUAGGCGGGAAUCUAAGUCUGUUGUUAAAAUGCGGGGCUCAACCCCGUAUUGCGAUGGAAACUGGGUUUCUUGAGUGCAGGAGAGGAAAGGGGAAUUCCCAGUGUAGCGGUGAAAUGCGUAGAUAUUGGGAGGAACACCAGUGGCGAAGGCGCCUUUCUGGACUGUGUCUGACGCUGAGAUGCGAAAGCCAGGGUAGCGAACGGGAUUAGAAACCCUUGUAGUCC